AACACUUCCUUCUACAUCGGGCGCCGUCGCCUCAACUGCGCGUGGGGGGCGAGGCGCCCACCCCGCACAAGAACAGAGGAGCGGGGGAGAAGAGACGGCCUCGCUGCUCACUGGGUAAGCGGAGCCCAGCCCCGCUCGGGAGCGGGCAGGAGAGACAGGGUAGUGACCCCCACUCACACCAGAAAACCCCUCCCCCCGGCGAUUUUGCUGCCAACUCGAGUCGGCUACAGACAGUCCAGUGAGUCCUUAAUUACAAGGACGAGAGAAAAGCACGGUGCCCCUCGAGUCCUCUCCGCCCCCUCGGUCCUAACCCCCGCCCAGGCUCCAGGUCUUCCCCUUUGUGUGGCCUGGACUCUCUCCCAGCUACGACUUUGGUGGGAUCCAAAAGGAAGGAGGUGGCGGGGCCUACGGAAGAGGAUACCCAGGAGCCAGGGAGAAGGGCUAGAAAACGAAUAAUGUGACUCCAGAGGCGGAACCCCGACCCCCUCUAUUUCCCACCCCGGCUUCACCCGGAGACGAAAGCUGUGGGCAUCUUCAGUUUAACGGACUUCGCGGAAAAGGAGAGAAGGGGGGCGAGGGAAAUGGCAGUUUGUGUCCCAGGGGUUCUUCCCCUUCUUCUUGCCGCCUCCUAAAGACAAACAAACUCAACCCCCCACCCUCCGGGGUAUCAGGGAACUCGUGGGACCGUGAAAAAGUCGUUCCCAAAUCCGGCCGCCUGCGGACGUCGGACUUCCGCGGGGCCGGCGCCCGUUGGCGUCUGUAGCUCGGCGCAGCCACGCGGGGCUCCAGCGAGCGGGGUCCGCCACCCCUCGCGCCCUCCUGCGGCUUUCCCAGCGCUGGGCCAGUGCAGGCCGAGCCCUGCGUCCCUGCCUCGCUGGGUGGGGGUCCGGGGCGCGGCUGUCCACAGGGCCGCCUCCUCCUGCGGCCCGCGGGGAAGGGGCGCAUCCCACCCCGCUCUGCAGGCCGCCCUUCUGCCAGCUGGGAGGCGAGGGCACACGUCCUAAGGCUGCCCAAGGGGGAGAGGAAUCGCGCCGGUAGGAGAGCGCACGGGAACCAGGAACGCAAGGCGGGCACAGGGGAGCCGAAGGAGCCAGACAGGGCCCGGCCACGCGCCCUCCUCGCUCGGCUGCGCUCCGUGACGGGAACCCAGGCUCCCACGCACGGGGAAUGCCUAGAACGGAGCUAGAAUGGAGGCCCCUUUGUGUGACUAAAUUUGGCAAGAAUAUGGAUCUGAGCCAGUCUUUCCACGUGUGCUCCCAGCUCCCAGCUGAGAAGGCCAAGGGUUCUCUUCCGGGAAAACCAGUUUGGCUAUUAAGGGAACCUGUCGACACAGAGCAGAGCAAGAUAAGGCCAGGUUUCAGAAAGAAUAGCUGUUUACCAUCAAAGCAACUGGGUUCCACACAGACAUGGUAUAUUAUACACAAAGACGAAG
rnacentral:lncRNA from 1 species